rnacentral:rRNA from 1 species
GAUGAACGCUGGCGGCGUGCCUAAUACAUGCAAGUAGAACGCUGAAGGAAGGAGCUUGCUCUUUCCGGAUGAGUUGCGAACGGGUGAGUAACGCGUAGGUAACCUGCCUGGUAGCGGGGGAUAACUAUUGGAAACGAUAGCUAAUACCGCAUAACAGUAGAUGUUGCAUGAUAUCUACUUAAAAGGUGCAAUUGCACCACUACCAGAUGGACCUGCGUUGUAUUAGCUAGUUGGUGAGGUAACGGCUCACCAAGGCGACGAUACAUAGCCGACCUGAGAGGGUGAUAGGCCACACUGGGACGGAGACACGGCCCAGACUCCUACGGGAGGCAGCAGUAGGGAAUAUUCGGCAAUGGACGGAAGUCUGACCGAGCAACGCCGCGUGAGUGAAGAAGGUUUUAGGAUCGUAAAGCUCUGUUGUAAGAGAAGAACGAGUGUGAGAGUGGAAAGUUCACACUGUGACGGUAUCUUACCAGAAAGGGACGGCUAACUACGUG